CAGGCUGCAGCUCUGUGCGUGUAAAGUGUUUAAAACUCUGACUAUUAACACGAGGUGGAGAGAGGAGAACUCCCCUCUCAGACAAUCACUGGUACAGCUGAUUAGCUGUCUUGAGUCAAAUAUCUAGAAAAGCGAACUCUUCAAAUCAUCCUACUGUACUACUCUUCAAAUCACUGUACCCUAAAACGCUCAUCACCAAUGGGAACAGUCGACACAGCUGGCUAUCUUCCAGAGUGAACAACAGUAGAAGACGGGAAAAGGGAGACCCAUUUUGGACAAUCAGAGCCAUAAAAGCUUGCCGCUGAAAGGCCAACAAACUUCCUAAGUAGGGCUGGUUCCGACCGAGAUAAACGGCGAACGAAGGCAUUCACACAUAACAUGACAUUUUAGAGACUAAGGGAGAUUGAAAAGUAGAGAGCCGCUGCCUGGGACUUCCAGCGCACGGAGCAGAACAGAGAGGACGAAGAGGAGGAGAGGAAAGCAAUGGAGCUGCAGAAGGAGAAGAGGAUUGAGAUGGACCGAUACGACAAACAGCUGGCCAGAGAGCAGCACAAAAAUCAGCGGUACCUGGCCAAGCAGCUGUACACCAGCCGACCCACAGCCCAGAACCACCCGGUUCAGCAGCAGCUCACGCUGGGGGAUCACCAGCACAGACUCACCGCACAAUACGGGAUCUCAGAUUCAGAUGAUAGGCACAACACAACAAUAAAAUCAAGUUUAUGGUAUAGGCACACGUUAUAUGUUUUCAUGUCUUUUAUCCCUAAGAUUUAGUCACUAGGUCAAAUGUUGCCGUGUUCUGCAACUUAUUCUCUCAGGAGCUGUAUUUUAGGUAUAAAAUGACUAUCAAGCUGUUCUUUUAUGUUUCAUGUGUAGUGGUCAGUAUCUAAUUUGGCUUAUCCUUUGAAGAUUAACAUGCAUGUUACCAUAUUUAGACAUGAAUGCUAUGAGUAAUUUAAAUGAUGACACAACCCGAUGAUGCCUCUUUUGGUUCAGAUCGUUCCAAGUUCUUUAUUUAAUCAAUCACAUAUUUAGUUACAAGUAGCUGAUUCAUAAUGCAGAUAGUUACAUUGUCAUUGGGCCCAUAACAUACAGUACAAGACCCCCUCCAUACAGUGAUCCCCUCCCAACCCACUUCACUUCAGUCUCAAGCAAUGGCACGAGCACACUAGCCCAGUCCCAGAUCAGUUUGUGCUGUCUUGCCAACUCCUACGACUUUAGCAUGAUAACAACCAUAGGAGUUUGCUAUACAACCCAAACAGAUCUGCGACCAGGGUAUAAAUACACUACUGUACCUUCCAGUCCCCCAAAUCCAUUUUACUAGUGUUGCACCCCAAACAAAGCACACAGAGGCACUCUGUCUCCCCUCAGGCAGUGAAAUACACAGUGUCCCUCCCCUCCCUCCAUCAUGAAUAUAAAUCCAUGAAUGUCAUGUCCUAAAAUAAACAGUUGCUGUCAUUCUCCUCAA